AGUGAACGCUGGCGGCGUGCUUAACACAUGCAAGUCGAACGAGAACGGAUUAUAGCUUGCUAUAAUUGUCAGCUAAGUGGCGCACGGGUGAGUAAUGUAUAGGUAAUAUGCCUCUUACUAAGGGAUAACAAAUGGAAACGUUUGCUAAUACCUUAUACUCCUUAUUAACAUAAGUUAAUAAGGGAAAGAUUUAUUGGUAAGAGAUUAGCCUGUAUUGUAUCAGUUAGUUGGUGGGGUAAUGGCUUACCAAGACUAUGACACAUAACUGGUUUGAGAGGAUGAUCAGUCACACUGGAACGGAGACACGGUCCAGACUCCUACGGGAGGCAGCAGUGGGGAAUAUUGCACAAUGGACGAAAGUCUGAUGCAGCAACGCCGCGUGGAGGAUGACGCAUUUCGGUGCGUAAACUCCUUUUAUAUGAGAAGAUAAUGACGGUAUUAUAUGAAUAAGCACCGGCUAACUCCGUGCCAGCAGCCGCCGUAA
rnacentral:rRNA from 1 species